rnacentral:rRNA from 1 species
AUACGAAGGGAGCUAGCGUUGUUCGGAAUUACUGGGCGUAAAGCGCACGUAGACGGAUUGAUUAGUUAGGGGUGAAAUCCCAGGGCUUAACCCUGGAACUGCCUCUAAUACUGUCAGUCUAGAGAUCGAGAGAGGUGAGUGGAAUUCCGAGUGUAGAGGUGAAAUUCGUAGAUAUUCGGAGGAACACCAGUGGCGAAGGCGGCUCACUGGCUCGAUACUGACGCUGAGGUGCGAAAGCGUGGGGAGCAAACAGGAUUAGAUACCCUAGUAGUCC